GUAGAUCUGGUACCCAUUUUUUCCUCACCCAUUUACUGAAGUGUAUUUAUUUUUACAUGGAAAAACUGUCAUUUUCAUUGUUGGAAAUAGUUUUUAUGAUAAUACAUCUUUUAUUUUAUUAACAUUUUUUGUAGGAGCAUGGUGCAGUCUUGAAUACUUGUAUUGUGCUGUGUGAUAGCUUGUGUUACGCAGUCCAAUGUCCAUGUAUCUGUGGUAUCUAAUAGAGUGAAUAACAUGAGUUCAUAGACCAUGCGCAGGGU
rnacentral:misc_RNA from 1 species